rnacentral:rRNA from 1 species
UACAGAGGGUGCGAGCGUUAAUCGGAAUUACUGGGCGUAAAGCGCGCGUAGGCGGCUUUGCAAGCCGGAUGUGAAAUCCCCGGGCUUAACCUGGGAACUGCAUUCGGGACUGCAUUGCUAGAGUAUGGGAGAGGGAAGUGGAAUUUCAGGUGUAGCGGUGAAAUGCGUAGAUAUCUGAAGGAACAUCAGUGGCGAAAGCGACUCCUGGACCAAUACUGACGCUCAUGUGCGAAAGCGUGGGGGAGCAAACAGG